UAAAACAUUGUGUGCACAUGGCACAGUGAAUUAGUUAUGGUUCAUUAAAAACAGAAAUGAAGUCUUCAGGGUACCUACAAAAGAACAAUAAACGUGAUCCAUAAUCUUUAACCCCAGUAGCCUUAAUUAGCAAAUAGGAAUAGCAACAUUGGCAGAACAAAUUACUCUCACAGGUUCCCACUCCAGAAAUGAGUAAAUGAUGCAGCCUACAAAAUUUAAUUUUUAGUACAAACACGAUUUAAUAAUGGAGUAAUACCCAAGACACAAUGCCUAACGACGUGAACCCGUUUGACAAAAUGCUCAAAAGACAUGAAUGCGUAAAACAUGGCCAGACAUUCGAGACUAUUUGGCCAUUACAAACACAGGAGCGAGACACUCUCUGAGUCAUCCUGAUGAAAGUGCAAAGUGCUCAAUGAAUGCAGUAGAGUACGAGAGGAGAUGCAUCAAUAGCAAGCAAACAAAUCAAGAGUGAACAAUAAUAAAUUAAAAAUUAGUACGCACACAAUAAGAGCGUACCUUUGAAAGCCACUGAUUGAUAGGAAAGUUAGAUACCACCGGUGGGUGUUCAGCGGAUCCAGAUACUACUCUGCCGCCCGCGUCUGGCCGCAGAUCCUCCUCCUAUUUAGGAUCGGAUUGGGAUGGGGAUUACUAAUGAGAUGGAUAAAAUACGAAGACAUCGAUACAAACACAACAUAUAGGCAAGCAGCAGCUAAGUGAGAUUGAUCGAGACGAUGCGCUACUGUUUCUGUUUGAGAAGGCGCAAGGGUGUUACCUUAUUUGGAUUAGAGGCGACAGAUGCCCCACUCAACGCGGUGACGACGCGGUGUGGAGUAGGUGGGGCGGCUCUAUACACAGCCCGCGCAGUGGAGGCAGAACCCACGCCAGAGGGAGAGGUCGAUGGUACAGAGGGGAUAGUGGAAGGUGGAGAUGGAAGUGAGUUGUGGCAUCGGGGACGCACGCAGAGGGACUGUGGCUGUGGGUGCUGCGAGGCCAUGGCAACGUGAGAGGCUGAGAUCCACUUUCUUCGACUGGAUCUAGGGUUUGGAGUGCAGGAAGGGUGGUCGUUUAGCUCGAGGAGGGGAUAACAGAUGACUGUGGAUUGAGGGCUGGAUCUAGAGGGACGGCAUAUAGGUUUAUUUCAAAGGAUCGUGAGGGACUUUCAUGUAAAAGAGAUGACCAACUGGUACUUUAUAAUAUACGGAUGAUAUUGCAACAUAUCAUAAGCAUGGCCAAAAAUCAAAUAAAUAUACGAAUGAUACUUGCAACACAUAAUUAGUGUUGCUCUAUACUUGUCAGUAACGUAUAAUAACUGCAACACAUAAUAAAUGUUGCUAUAUGCUUCACGGCAACACAUAAAACUAUGUGUUGCUAAACAUGAGUAGCUAUAGGGUUGUUCCUGUUGUAGUGCGAUGGAGCUUUCCCGUGGCUUGUGGCAGGCUUCUCGCUGGUCACCAUCUCCUUCUUGGUGUGAGCUCCCAACAUCACUUCGAGCGGUUAGGCUCUAAUGAAGUACCGGACUCUGAUACCAAUUGAAAGUCGACUAGAGGGGGGGUGAAUAGGCAAAUCUGAAAUUUAUAAAGUUUAAGCACAACUACAAGCCGGGGUUAGCGUUAGAAAUAUAAUCGAGUCUGAAAGAGAGGGUGAAAAACAAAUCACAAGCAAAUAGCGAGAGUGACACGAUGAUUUGUUUUACCGAGGUUCGGUUCUUGCAAACCUACUCCCCGUUGAGGUGGUCACAAAGACCGGGUCUCUUUCAACCCUUUCCCUCUCUCAAACGGUCACUUAGACCGAGUGAGCUUUUCUUCUCAAUCAAUUGGGACACUUAGUCCCCGCAAGGACCACCACACAAUUGGUGUCUCUUGCUUUGAUUACAAAGAACUUAGGAAUAAGAAAUGGGGAAGAAGAAAAGUGAUCCAAGCGCAAGAGCUCAAAAGAACACGGCAAAACUCUCUCUUCUAGUCACUAUUGCUUUGAGUGAAAUUGGGACUUGGAGAGAUUUUGAUUCACUCUAUUUGUGUCUUGUAUUGAAUGCACUAGCUCUUGUAUUGAUUGUGUUAGCUGAAAACUUGGAUGCUUUGAAGUGUUGGUGGUUGGGGGUAUUUAUAGCCCCAACCACCAAAAUAGCCGUUGGGGAAGGCUGCUGUCAAAGGGCGCACCAGACAGUCCGGUGCGCCAGCCACGUCACCCAACCGUUAGGGUUCGACCGUUGGAGCUCUGACAUGUGGGGCCACCGGACAGUCACUGUUCAUUGUCCGGUGCGCCUUCUUGCGCCUGCUCUGACUCUGCGCGCGUAGUCCGCACUGUUCACUGUAGCUUUUGCAGACGACCGUUGGCGCAAGUAGCCGUUACUCCGCUUGGCACACCGGACAGUCCGGUGAAUUAUAGCGGAGUGGCUUCCCAAAUUCUUGAAGGUGGCAAGUUCGGAGUUGAUCUCCCUGGUGCACCGGACACUGUCCGGUGGCACACCGGACAGUCCGGUGCGCCAGACCAGGGCAGCCUUCGGUUGUCUUUUGCUAUUUUUAUUUGAACCCUUUCUUGGACUUUUUAUUGGUUUGUGUUGAACCUUUGGCACCUGUAGAACUUAUAAUCUAGAGCAAACUAGUUAGUCCAAUAAUUUGUGUUGGGCAAUUCAACCACCAAAAUCAUUUAGGAAAAGGUGUGAGCCUAUUUCCCUUUCAGCUAUAAAUACCCCCCAACCACCACAACUUUUGGAAUCUAAGUUUUUCUGAAGAUCACAUUCAAUACAAGAGCUAGAGCAUUCACUCCAAGACACAUUUCCAAAGAUCAAACCCUCUCCAAGUCUCGAAUUCAUCUCAACCACUUAGUGACUUGAGAGAGUGUGUUCGUGUUCAUUUGCGCUCUUGUUUCUUGGAUUGCCUUUUUUCCUUCCUCACUUCUUUUCUAAGUGCUUGUAAGCAAAGCAAGAGACACCUAAGAGUGUGGUGGUCCUUACGGGGUCUUAGUGACCCGUGUGAUUAAGGGAAAGGCUCACUCGGUCUAAGUGACCGUUUGAGAGAGGGAAAGGGUUGAAAUAGACACGGUCUUUGUGACCUUCUCAACGGGGACUAGGUUCUUUGGAACCGAACAUCGGUAAAACAAAUCAUUGUGUUCACUCGCCUUGAUUCUUGUUUGAUUUGUUUUUCCCUCUCUAACGUUUCCUUGCUAGUUUCAAUUUGAGUUGGCUCCCAUACGUUAUCCGCAAUCCUUGAGCAACUCGUAGCAAGAGAGAUAUUCUUUUGGACUUGAAUUUAAUUCUAACGCUAACCCCGGCUUGUAGUGUAUGUUUAAAGUGAUAAAUUUCAGGUUUCGCCUAUUCACCCCCUCUAGGCGACUUUCACAUACAUAAGAACAUUACACCAUAUAAAGGAAAACAUUAUAAAAACGUACAACACGGAAUAGAGCUCGCUACUACGGUCAUGCUAACAAAAAGAAACACAAAAGUUAGUACUAUAAUUGAGAAGAUAUAACCUUCGAAAGUUUUGUGCGAUUAACACAUAAAACUAUGUUUCUAGGUUGAUUUUAAACUAAAUCAUUUGCAGAGAUAUUUUAGAGAAGUAUCCAAUUUAGUUUUAAUCCGAAUUAUAAUUCGAUUAGAAAUCACUUUUUAAAACUAGACAAAUUAUAUUUAUAAAACGUUGCAUAGGGUUUGUAACAUCGGAAUAAUUAAUUUUAGGCAAGAAAUGACUCACGAGAACUAUUAAAUAGAUAUCAUGUUUACACUAAAUAAAUAUUAGUUCAAAGACAUUCGAGUAGGUAUAAUCAAAUUAACAGGUAUUUAUAAAGGACAAAUUAAAACUAUUAACUAUUUUUAAUUAGAAAGCCGUUUUUAAUAACUAUUGAAUGAACAAUUAACUAACUAAUUAAUUAAAAGUUGUGACAUGACAAAAUAACAUUACUAAUACGAAAUCAACGUUGUUACAAAGUUGACGUGACUGAAACGAUUUGACACAGGUUUACAACGCAUAAUAUAUUAAAUAAAUAACAAUUCGCAGAUUAUAAACAACGCGACUUGUGAGAACUACUAACAGAUAGCAAUUUGUACAAAGAAAAUGUUUAAUCGAAACUUUUGAGUUGACAUUAUUCGCAUUAACAUGUAUUUAUAAAAGCGUGAAUUAAAACCCUAAACUAGUAUCAACUAGAUUACUAUUUUAAUAAUCAUUAGAUAAACAAUUAUAUAAAUAAUUAACGAAAACAUGUGUUGCGUCAAAAUAAUGUUUGUAACAUGUAGAUGACAUUAUUAUGAAACUAACACAAUUAGAAUGGAUUGAAACGAAUUUACGAUGCAAAAGGUACUGCAUUUUUAGUAUAUCGUGGAUUAACGGUGACCUGGCAUGGUUCUAUUGGCCGGAAACUUGCCACACGGAGGGCUUUGGGAUUACAACCACAGAAAUAACGGAAAGUUGUGAUUUCUGUGUGGCUUGUCGUCAGCCUUGGACUUCUUCUACCUUGAGCGGUUAACAGAGAAAAGAAUUAGGGGGAAGAGAGAAAAGGACCAGGCGACCAGGGGUGGGAUUUGAAGUGAAGAUAGAAGAGAUGCAACGUCGGCCUCUCUAUUUUUGACAACCUUUUAGUGAUGGUCCACCGUGUAUUGUGACAGGAAUUUCUCCUUCGUUUGACACAUGUAGUCUUCGUAUUGUUAUUGCCCCUCGGUUGUCAGGCUCUCAAUAGUCGGUUUCAGGAUAUUGUCCGAGGAAAUAUCGGUGUGAUCUUUAGAAUCUACCAUUUGAGGGCCUGAUUUUUAGUAGAUCUAGACACCUGUCCCCAGCGGAGUCACCAAAAAGUGUGUUGGAGCUGAUCUGGACGCCAAACACUGACAUAGACCGUUUGGAGGUGCUCUCUACGGAUGUUUGGCACUCUGCGACACAUGGCCGGACGGUCCGCGACCUGGCGCAGGAGCGGCUCCUCCUCUGCGUACGUCCGGACUGUCCGUGCAUGGGGCUCAUACGGUCCGCGAUGGCGCAAAGGGUUUUCUUAUUCGUAGCAGACCUAGAUCUCGCCUCCUGAGAGGGACCCUGUCGGGGAGGAGAGAUUCUAGGGUGUGCCUUGGCAUCGACAGGCCACCCAAGACGCCUCUAAUAGACAUAGAGCCAGAGACAGGUGAAGAUUUGCGGUAGAGGGAGGCUAAACUAGAGCUAAACUAGAGCUACUCAUAAUGCAUAAAGUAAAAACGAGAAGUGGAGUUGAUUUGAUCGAUUGUGGGGGGUUCAAUCAGUCGUAGCCCUUCAUCUAUAUAAAGGGGGAGGUAUGGACCCGUUACAAGUCAGUUCCCAAGUUAAUCCCGCAGAUUUAGCUAACAAAUCUCGCAAGAAACUUGUAACCCUAACUGAUUCUGCGCACGCGCAGACCAUCCGCGCCACCACCGCGGACCGUCCGGCCUACAGGGCGGACUAUCCGCCUGCCCAAAAGUGGUCUCAACAAAGUGUUCUUCUGGAUGACUAACCCUUUGUUCACCUCACUGCAACCAAACCAACAUUGCUAUAGGUGAAUGGUACAGUUUGAAACAAAAAUAGAAAUCCUAUCUGAUGGGGAGAUUAGAUUCAGAUUCAAUGAAACAAUUGGGAUGUUGGGGAUCAAUGAGACGUGGGAGAUUGGCUGUGGGAUCCGGUGCGCAACACAUAGCAACGACACAACACACAAACCAAAUUAUUGGUUAAAUGAAAAGCGGAAAGCAGAAGGUAAUCAACAACAUGCCUUCUUAAGGCCCGAGAGUGAUCAGCGACAUACAUACCGAUGAUGAGGAGCACCUUCGUGACCUUGUAGCGAUUGCGGCAGUAAUAGACUCGGGGACCCUCCCACUUGUCGUUGUCCGCGUACCUGCCCAUC
rnacentral:lncRNA from 1 species